AUGCAUAGGGUUUAUGUUUGUGAUGCUCAGCUUAUUUUGAACAAAAGACCUCUUUCCCUCCCUUCUUCUCAAACGCGGUGCCGCUUAUCUCUUUCACUUAUCCUCUCCGUUCGACUCUUCAUCGCAUCCGUUCCGUCUUCAUCCCGCUGUUCCGUCUCUCAUGUCUUCUCUCUUGCUUCAUCACGAUUCUGUCCUCUUCCUCCCGCCGCGCGCUCAUCACCUUCGUAUCUCUGUCUUACUCUCGCUUUCAUCACUGCGCCACUGUUCUUUCGAUUUGAUCUCGAACUUAACACGAAUAUGAACCAAACAGUGGAAACGAUAGAGAAGAAGAAAACAUUAACGCUUACCUGUCGGAGAAUGAAGCGUUGA